rnacentral:misc_RNA from 1 species
UUUCCGUAGGUGAACCUGCGGAAGGAUCAUUAUUGUAUAACCGAGGUGCGAGGGCUGUCGCUGACCCGAAAGGUCGUGCACGCCCGAGUGCCCUCACACACAUCCAUCUCACCCCUAAGUGCACCACCGCGUGGGUCCCCCUUUGGCUUGUUCGGAGGGGGGCUUACGUUUUCACACAAACUUUGUAUGCAGUGUAGAAUGUAUUUUUUGUUUUUGCGAUCACGCAAUCAAUACAACUUUCAACAACGGACCUCUUGGCUCUCGCAUCGAUAAGAACGCAGC